CACAUUGCGGGGCUGCAGCGUGUCCGGAGAAGGGCAACAAAGCUGGAGAAGGGUCUGGAGCACAAGUCCUGUGAGGAGUGGCUGGGGGAGCUGGAGUUGUUUAGCCUGGAGAAAAGGGUCAGGAGGGUCCUUGGUGUUCUCUACAAGUCCCUGAAAGGAGGCUGUAGCCAGUGGCCUGUGUUCACAGUUACCUGAAUUAUAAUUGUGUUACUAAGGGUCCCAUUCCUAUCUGCCACAUACUGGGGCUGCCUGGCUUUGCAGUAUGAAUGGAGCUGAAGCUGAACCCUUGCUGUCCUUCCAGAGCUUCCCAGGGGAGCUAAAUUAUGGAUGAUCAUUGAAGUUCUCACUCCAGCUGGGAGGACAGCCAGGCACCUUCAAGAACAAGGGAAUGAUUGACAAUAUUAGGCAGAAAAUUGUCUACCAGAUGCUGCUCAAAAGGAGAGGUGGCAACCUUCCGACCCCCUUCUCAGUACGGGAAAUCAUCGCUUGUGUGACACGCCUCUGCCCCACUUGUCAGCUGAGCGGGGAGCACGGGGUCACUGCUGCGUCUGGCUGUUGUGCAGAAAAAUGCCACCCUGCAGACAAGGCUGUGCCUUCUGCCUGAAGGAGGUCCCAGUGCCAGCCAUGUGUUGGAAUGAAGUGGAAAAAUUCACCAGACAUUACACAUUACUUUUCAGUUACCACCCUGAAAUACUGACUAGAUCUGAAUAACCUUACUGGUGCAGAAACGAAAGGAACUCCAGAUAGUCCAUCCUUGGACUGUCACAGCAUAAACACCAACCAGACCUGCACGGCUUUUAAAAACCUCUCCUCAGAGGUCUUCCUGUUGCCAUUAGUACUUUAACACGAUUUGCAUGUUUAUGUCUCUUAAAAGGUUUCGUUCCUCCCCUGAAAAAAGAGGUCAGCUCACUGGAGUUUCAUGCUAGUGCUAAUACAGUGACUAUGGUUCCCCUUUUUACAAAUUAACUAGACUGAGAAAAACAAAGAGAUGAACUUGAAAAAGGUAAGACUAACAUUUUCCUACUUAAUUAGCUCACUGAACAAGAAAAAGAAAGCAAGCAAAGAGAGGAAACACCUUUUCUGAACAAAAGCAGUGGAGGACAAAAAAACCCAAAGAGUCUACAUGGAGAGCAGACACACAGGACACAUAAGCCUCUGAGCACAAGACAGAAAUAACCAUAAAUAUGUAGUUGGGGUUUUCUUACACUCAGACACACAUGCACACACAAAGCUAUUUGAGGGAGUUUCUAUGUUGUUCGUGCUCAUUCAUGUGGGGUAACAGCAAUGUGUGUGAAUAACAAUCCUUGAAAUGACACCAGAAUUAAAGGAAGGAUAUAGGAAAUGAAAGAUGAUAAUUGAAAUGCUAUUUUAAGCAAAUGUACUCAUUAGUUGUCUUAAUUCAGGUGGAACUUCCCCUGCAAAUUAGCAUGUCAACUUCCUCUUUCUUAGUGAAGUGUCAAGGAACUCAGAUUGAUUCUGAAAGUCAAAGCUGAAUUUGCAGAGGUAGCAAUUACAAAGAAAAUAACUAGCUUUUCCUUUCAAAAUGAACAAAUUAGAUCAGGAACUCAGAAAAACAUAAAUAUUACAGGACGCAUAAAACUUCUUUCCGACUCACUCUUUACAUGGAAACUCCUUUAUAAAUCUUGUGGAAGUAAGAAAAAAAAAAGACUACAUAACUCCAAGUCAACACCAGCAAUAAAAAUAUUUACACGAAUAAA